rnacentral:rRNA from 1 species
UACGAGGGGGGCGAGCGUUGUUCGGAAUUAUUGGGCGUAAAGGGUGCGUAGGCGGUUUGAUAAGUCUGAUGUGAAAUCUAUGGGCUCAACCCAUAGCCUGCAUUAGAAACUGUCGGGCUUGAGUAUGGGAGAGGUGAGUGGAAUUUCAGGUGUAGCGGUGAAAUGCGUAGAUAUCGGAAGGAACACCUGUGGCGAAAGCGGCUCACUGGACCAUUACUGACGCUGAUGCACGAAAGCUAGGGGAGCAAACAGG